rnacentral:rRNA from 1 species
AUUGAACGCUGGCGGCGUGCUUAACACAUGCAAGUCGAACGAAGUGGCGAACGGGUGAGUAAUACGUGGGAACCUGCCCUCCUUUUUGGGAUAAGCCUUGGAAACGGGGUCUAAUACCGAAUAAAGGGGGAUGGGCUCGCGGCCUAUCAGCUUGUUGGUGGGGUGAUGGCCUACCAAGGCGGUGACGGGUAGCCGGCCUGAGAGGAUGAUCAGUCACACUGGAACUGAGACACGGUCCAGACUCCUACGGGAGGCAGCAGUGGGGAAUAUUGGACAAUGGGCGAAAGCCUGAUCCAGCCAUGCCGCGUGUGUGAAGAAGGUCUUCGGAUUGUAAAGCACUUUAAGUUGGGAGGCGUUACCAACAGAAUAAGCACCGGCUAACUUCGUGCCAGCAGCCGCGGUAAUUC